AUCGAUGAAUGCUCGAACCUGUA
rnacentral:siRNA from 1 species